UGAAAUGCAGAUAUAAUAACAUACAAAAAAGAUUACCUCAAACAUUUGAUAAGUUUGCUCAAGACCAGAGUUUUAAGAGUCCUAUUAUUGCACAAUGACAGUCAUUCAGUGGGAAAAAGUGAAUGUUCUUUCAAUUGGAAAACCUGACCCCUUUAAAUUUGUAAGUACUAAUUAUUUCUUAAAGUCUUGCAUGUUGUAAAACUUAGGGGUUUUACAUUUUGUUUUAUUUUUGAAACAUAUCAAUGUGUGUUGGUAAACAAUUUUCUUUAGUACUGACAGGUAACUUUUAAAUUUGGUUUUAUGAUAAUUUGAAUUAAAUUAAUUUGAAGCAAUAAUGUACUGUAGAAGGUGUCAGACUACUCUUAGUAGACUAUCUCAGCAAGAGAGGUGUAAAAAUAGUUCUGUCCUUUAUUGGAAGUCUCCAAUUUUCAAUGCAUUAAAUUUCAUAGUUCUUUAUCAUUCAGCAACACAUUGGCUGCUGCUAUUUUCUGGUCUUUAAGGACUUCCAAUAAGGGGAGAUCACUCGUGUGUGGAUGACUCAGCUAGAGUGUUAUACGUGCCAGGGAAUUGUGUGUUUCUUAUUGAAUACAAGAUUUAUCAUUAAAGACAAAAUUUAUAUC
rnacentral:sRNA from 1 species